GAGAUGGUUGUAGGUGGAAAUACUCCUGCUGACGGAGAAGUUAUUCAUUUGACCGUGGAUUAUAGCAAGAAACCUUUAACAAUCGACCCCAUUUUCAGGCGUCAACUUGGUCAGAGACUUGGCGCUGUUGGUUUCUACCUAGAACGUAAAUUUGGUUCUCCUCAAGACGUUGAAGGAUGUUUGGUUGGUAACGAGAUUUUCAUCGUGCAAUCGCGGCGCUUGCCGCUGUUGGUUUCUACCUAGAACGUAGAUUUGGUUCUCCUCAAGACGUUGAAGGAUGUUUGUUUGGUAACGAGAUUUUCAUCGUGCAAUCACAGACUCAACCACAGUGAGAGCCUGUUUUUUGCACUGAACUUCCUCACAAUAGUGCAUGUAUAAUUCAACAUCUCUUUG
rnacentral:lncRNA from 1 species